rnacentral:rRNA from 1 species
GACGAACGCUGGCGGCGUGCUUAACACAUGCAAGUCGAACGGAAAGGCGCUGCUUUUGCGGGGUGCUCGUAUGGCGAACGGGUGAGUAACACGUGAGUAACCUGCCCUUGACUUUGGGAUAACUUCAGGAAACUGGGGCUAUUACCGGAUAGGUGCUCCUGCUGCUUGGUGGGGUUUGGAAAGUUUCGGCGGUUGGGGAUGGAUUCGCGGCUUGUUAGCUUGUUGGUGGGGUAGUGGAUUACCCUGGCUUUGGCGGGUACCCGGCCUGAGAGGGUGACCGGCCAAAGUGGUACUGAGAUACGGCCCAGACUCCUACGGGCGGCAGCAGUGGGGAAGAUUGUGCAAUGGGCGGAAGCCUGAUGAAGCAACGCCGCGUUCGUGAUGACGUCCAUCGGGUUGUAAACCGCUUUCACCUGUGACGAAGCGUUAGUGACGGUAAUAGGUAAAUAAGCACCGGCUAACUUCGUG